rnacentral:rRNA from 1 species
CACGGGGGGAGCAAGCGUUGUUCGGAAUCACUGGGCGUAAAGGGCGUGUAGGCGGUCAGGUAAGUGGGAUGUGAAAUCCCUCGGCUCAACUGAGGAGCGUCGAUCGAAACUGCCGUUCUUGAGGGUUGCAGAGGAGACUGGAAUUCCCGGUGUAGCGGUGAAAUGUGUAGAGAUCGGGAGGAACACCGGUGGCGAAGGCGGGUCUCUGGGCAACUCCUGACGCUGAGGCGCGAAAGCGUGGGGAGCAAACGGG